UACGUAGGUGGCAAGCGUUGUCCGGAUUUAUUGGGCUUAAAGGGUGCGUAGGCGGCCGUGUAAGUCUGGCGUGAAAGCCCCGGGCUCAGCCCGGGAAGUGCGCUCGAAACUGCGCGGCUCGAGUGCCGGAGGGGAGAGUGGAAUUCCUGGUGUAGCGGUGAAAUGCGUAGAUAUCAGGAGGAAUACCGGUGGCGAAAGCGGUUCUCUGGGACGGUACUGACGCUGAGACGCGAAAGCGUGGGGAGCGAACAGG
rnacentral:rRNA from 1 species